GGAAGGGUGAUAGCUCAGUGGUAGAGCUCUUGCCUUGCAUGCAGAAGGUCCCAGGUUCAAUCCCCAGCCUCUCCA